UUUUUUAAUUACUCUGAAGUUGUAUUUGAUGUUCCAUUAGAGCAGUUCUGUUAAAAAGUUUUGAAAUGUCUGCUAUAAAUGUUCAAACAGCCGCACAGCAAUAUUCUAAAUGGAGGAAAAAUAUGCAAUUAGCUAUUGUCUUUUAGUAUUUUAAUUAAUGCUUACCAUGACAAGCUAUAAAACAGAAUCUGCAGAUAAGUCAUGCUUGAUUAAACCACAAAAAAUCAACGACAUGGAAAUGGAAUUGAGAAACCUAGUGGAGCCUCUCACAGGAAAAUUAAAAAG